UCUUGAUAUUCAUAGCACAGUAGGACCCACUCCAAACCAUUCCGAACUUGGCUGUUAAACUCUGUAGCGACGAUGAUACUUGAGAGGACACUCUCCGGGAAAGUAGUUCAAUAUCAGGA
rnacentral:rRNA from 1 species